GGGGUUAAGUGAUCCCGAAAGCAGGGAAUUCUGGUGGGAGAGUGUUACAGUAGAACAAUAAUGAGAUCAGAAAACAUGGGCAGAAUGGACUGAUAGUGGAAGAGCUGGGAAAGAGAUUAUGAGAAGAAAGAUUUGUUUGGAUGGGUAAAGGAGGAAGGGAGUGAGGAAAUUAGAUUCUGCUGCAAUUGUGAGCCCAGAUGGUCCUGCUAGUGAAAGCAAAGAUGCGUGAAAUUAAAUUAUUGAUACAUGAUCUAGUGAGGGUAGAAAACCUACGUGUGGAAGCCCAAGAAGCGAUGUGAGGGUACAGGAGGGCAGGGAAGUCAGACAUACGGAUUCUGAAUCCAUCUUUGUAGUGAUGGCAGAAGCUAUGGGAGUCUGAGCUUCUUCUGACAUACUCCUGUUGGUGGCACCAGUUUGACAGAUGCUGCUCUGUCAGUAAAUGUGGCUUCAGAGUAGUCACAGCAGAAAGAAGAGGAAAGAUUAUAGAAGGAGAAAGAAGAGAAGGAAUCUAAGAGCUGGAUCAUUUCACCACAGAAGACUGGGCCCUGCUACUGGAUAGGCCUGUCUUGGAAUGUUUUCCCUCAAGCAGCAAGAUGGACCAUGGCUUCAGAACGAUAUUUGGAAAUGGACGUUGUAAGUUACAGAUAGCUUCCUAAUAAGAAACUGAGCGGAAGUGACGGGAAUUGGACACUCUGAACUCAGUGCGGGCCUGUGCUGUCACCUGAGCACAGUGACUUCCAAGGUCCUUCCAAAGCUCCUUCACUGACACUGGCAACAGAUAGGCAGUUUCCGGAGUCAAAUAAGAAAGCAGCCUGCACCGGGUUUCAGGGUUAUUCCUAUCAAAGUUGUUCCUAUUCUAGGGAUCUGCCUGUGGUUUUCCUUGAGCCAGUUAGGUGUGGCUAACCACCUGUAGAGUUUGUUAAGGCUCCCUGCUAAUGGUUCCCAAUCUGGAGAUUUCACGGUUUCUCUGGCACCAGGAUUACGUGGUCAGGUUUGAGGUCCCUUUCUGGAACUUCUGGUGUUCCGGGCACCUGCAUUUCUAAUGUGCCCCUUGGCAGAGCUGUCGCUGCCGACCUGGAGAGCACCUCUGAAGAGGCACUGCCCCAGUACAAGUAGCAAAGGCAUUUCUGUAGCCCUAUAUUGACAGGAGUGGGCUCUAUCCUGUGGUCCUGGAGGAGACUCACCUACUCCUGUGAGUGAUAGACGCGAACUGUCUACAUUUUUCUAAAAGUCUGUGAAUCAUGGAAUCUCAAGGAUGGGCCUCACCUCGUGUGGCUAGAUUUUCUAAGUUUUUUCUCUUUACAUCCUGAUGGGGUGUUAAAUGAACUUUGUUCCCCAACCUAGUACUUGCAGGAUUUUGUGAUAAAGACUCUUCCUCUGCAGCAAACUAUUCAAACUAUAUCAACUGCAGACCGCUCACCAUGGUUUUCUUCUUCCCAAGUAAAUAUGGCUGCGUGCAGAAUACUUUAAUGCAAAACACCAUCAGUGGACGGGAUGCUAUUAUGGUCAGUUCUACUUCUGGGCACCUCCCUAUUCAGAAGGAUCACUACUUAUUAAUGGUAGCUUUCUGCUGGAGUGUUUGAUACUUGCUUUUUUUUAAUCAUGGGGGCUGGUUCCAGUUCCCGUUUAUUUUCCUGUUCUAAAGUUGUAGUAGCACGUGCAGAGCACAGAGCUUGCCUUUGAAAUUUCUCUAAAUAGCACAGCUAAGUGGCUUUAUAAUGUGCUCUCUGGUUCCAAAGCAAUUCCACCACACACAACAGAACCCCUUGACCCAUCGUCAAGAACUACCUCUUGCCUUCUUCAUCCACCCAUGACUUCUUAUCUAAACUCUCCACUCUGUGAAUCUGUCCUUUCUAGGCACUUCACCGAAAUGGAAUCAUAAAGUGAUUGUCUUUUACAUCAAGACAUUAUUUUUUAAAAGAAAGCAUCUCAGUGUGUGGCCCACACAUCGGCCUUGAACUUGUGAUCCUCCUCCUCUACUCUCCUCAGUACUGACAUGACAGGGGCACACCACCUAGCAUGGCUGGAUUUCCUCUCAGGCCUGUGUAAUCACACCAUAUUCUCUCCAGAGUCCUUUUCCAAAAGGAAAAUUCUUUUUAUUUCAUUACUUCCUCUUCCUUCCCCCUGCUUCCCUUCCUACUUCUCCCUCUCCUCCUUUGCUUCUUCCUUUCCCCCCUCUUCUUUCUGCUUGCUCCUCCUUCUCUUUCUCCUCCUCUUUCUCCCUUUCUCUUCCUUGUUUUUCUCUUCUCCCUUCUCUUUCUUCUCCUCUUUCUCCUUUUUCUUUCUUCUUUUCUCCUCUUCCCCCUUCUCCUCUUCCUUCUCUUUCUCCUCCUCUUCCUCCUUUCCAGUCCCCUUUUUACUAAGUCCACCUAUAUUUUUUGCUUGUCUUCUACCAGCUACUGAAUAGAAUUCCACACUGACUCUUCAUCCUGUGACUCAUGUGCAGGGUCUCACCCACUCUGCUGUCAUCAUGUUCCAUAACCAGCCACGGCAAGCAGAGUUUUCCCAAACAGUUUAGGCAUUUCAGAAAUUCCCCAAGAGCUCUCUUUCUGAAAGUCAUCUUUGAAAACUGAGCCAUAGAUUGCCAGAUUGCAGGGCAGUAGGGGGAAGAUUAUCUUUAGACUCUUCCUCCCCUGGGCCAUAUUUGCCAAGUAACCCAUUUCUUCAGCACCGCCAUUUACAUGGCUCUUACCCCACCCCACCCCCACCCCACCCCCAACGGAAGAAGUAAAUAAAUGCUGGAUUUUUGAGGCUAUUUAAAUACCAGAAAUCUUCAAAUUACCUUUAAUUGUACUUUGUUUCACAAGCCAGUGCCUCAUCUGAUAAGGCCAACAGAGCGCAAAUCUCUGCCAAAGGAGAAAAAACUAACAGUAUCUUUUCCCUGAUAUGGCUGGAACAGAGUGAGAGCCUGGCUUGUGGUUAUCUCUGAGCCUGUGCUACUUAUCAGUUUAGUAACAUUGUGGUUAAGGUUAUCUCCAAAUGAAGGGAGCAGCACCACCAACCAUGAGAGCAAGAGAAACCCAAUGGCAGCAACCCCUAUCCCAACAUUUAGACACCCGACCAGGGCACUCAGAGGCUGGUGUUGGACUGUGGCCCUGCAUUCGGGAUGCUAUCAAGUAUUCUGUUAACCAAAGUGUCUUAUCCAUCAUACUCUAAUCACAUACAUUUUGUAUACAGAGUUUAAAACAAGUCUAAAGUAUUAAGUAGGUCUCAAAACCCAGGACAAAAGCUACCUAAGGUGCCUAUUGAACAGAUCAAAGCAGACCUGGCCACCAGGUUCUCCCAUCCCACCCAGUCCCUACCUGCUCCAGUGUAUGGCUGGCAUUCCCUGGCCCUUACCCUAAAUGCCUCCAGCCCAGGGUCUGGGCUGUCCUUUUCCCAGCUGCCUUCCCUAUAUAAUCAAGCCAUUUUGGUUCACUGACCAUGGGACCCCAAGCCCUAGCUGUUACAUCACAGUACAGUGCAACUCAAGGCUCAGGGAACAUGGUGGUAGAAAGAGCAGGAAGAUUAUAAGAUUCACAGAACUCAGAUGUCAGCUGUGAGACAAUGAAGCUGUACCCACAAAAUCUCAAACCUACGGUGACCAAACCAAGACCUGAGCAAUGGCAACACCAAUCUACGUGCACGUGUGGCUGGGGGAAAUGUCAUCGAAAAACCACCCUAGAUGAGAAGCUACAGGCAAUGGAGGACUGAGAAAGGGAAAAUCAGUCUUCUCCAGGGACGAGUAGCCAAGUGUUUUCCAGUCACAGGUAGUCAUCCCUGAAAUUAUAUGUGCACUAAAGCGACACUAAUUUGAUUCAAUGGUUUGCAUUUACAUAUGUAUCUGUUUAUCUAUGUGACAGUAAUAACUAAAGAGGCCAUGCAUUUGGGAGUGGUUGGGGGAGGGGUAUGGGAAGAGUUGGAAGUAGAAGAAGGAAGAGGGGAAAUGAUCUAAUUAUAUUUCAGUUAUUUUUAUAAAGAAAAAGCUAUAUAUGCUAUACAUAAAAUGAUAUUAUUUUGCUUCGUUUUCACAUAACGUUCCAAACAUCAGUGAACAGAUGCUCAGAUGUUUCUGCUGGAUUUCCAGUUGAAUGGGCUAAGCUUGGUUUAAUUUUCAGGUCCAAAAUUUCUUAAGCAAAAUGGUAAAAAUAAACAGCAUUGCCCAUA